rnacentral:rRNA from 1 species
CACAUACCUAAACGUUGCUUCGGCGGGAACAGACGGCCCCGUGAAACGGGCCGCCCCCGCCAGAGGACCCCUAACUCUGUUUCUAUAAUGUUUCUUCUGAGUAAAACAAGCAAAUAAAUUAAAACUUUCAACAACGGAUCUCUUGGCUCUGGCAUCGAUGAAGAACGCAGCGAAAUGCGAUAAGUAAUGUGAAUUGCAGAAUUCAGUGAAUCAUCGAAUCUUUGAACGCACAUUGCGCCCGCCAGUAUUCUGGCGGGCAUGCCUGUUCGAGCGUCAUUACAACCCUCAGGCCCCCGGGCCUGGCGUUGGGGAUCGGCGGAGCCCCCCGUGGGCACACGCCGUCCCCCAAAUACAGUGGCGGUCCCGCCGCAGCUUCCAUCGCGUAGUAGCUAACACCUCGCGACUGGAGAGCGGCGCGGCCACGCCGUAAAACACCCAACUCUUCUGAAGUUGACCUCGAAUCAGGUAGGAAUACCCGCUGAACUUAAGCAUAUCAAUAAGCGGAGGAA